rnacentral:tRNA from 9 species
GGGGCUAUAGCUCAGCUGGGAGAGCGCCUGCUUUGCACGCAGGAGGUCUGCGGUUCGAUCCCGCUUAGCUCCACCA